CGUCGAUGAAGAAUGUAGCGAAAUUUAAGAGAAUGUAGCGAAAUUUUAGGACAGCAAGCGU
rnacentral:rRNA from 1 species